AUUGAACGCUGGCGGCAUGCCUAACACAUGCAAGUCGAACGGCAGCACAGUAGAGACUUCGGUCUUUAUGGGUGGCGAGUGGCGGACGGGUGAGUAAUGCGUAGGAAUCUGUCCUGGAGAGAGGGAUAACCCGAGGAAACUCGGGCUAAUACCGCAUGAUAUUGAGAGAUUAAAAGCAGGGGACCUUUUUGGGCCUUGCGCUCUGGGUUGAGCCUACGUCGGAUUAGCUAGUUGGUGGGGUAAGAGCCUACCAAGGCGACGAUCCGUAGCUGGUCUGAGAGGAUGACCAGCCACACUGGGACUGAGACACGGCCCAGACUCCUACGGGAGGCAGCAGUGGGGAAUCUUGGACAAUGGGGGAAACCCUGAUCCAGCGAUGCCGCGUGUGUGAAGAAGGCCUUCGGGUUGUAAAGCACUUUAGUUGGGGAAGAAAAGUAACUCGUGAAUAACGGAUUACUGUGACGGUACCCAAAGAAUAAGCACCGGCUAACUCUGUGCCAGCCGCCGCAGUAA
rnacentral:rRNA from 1 species